GAAUCAGUGAUUGCCGACUGCCUCACCCUGAUGGACCUCUCACGUGACCACCUUUCAGCCAACUCCAUCAACACCAAUGCCCGCACUUACAUGAGCGCCGUGCUCACCGACCAUGUCACCUGCCUCGACAGCCUCGACGGGACAGCUCGGACAUCCAUGGAGCCCCACCUCAUCAACCUCAUCUCCCUCGCCAGUGCCUCUCUCGCCGUGCUCAACUCCGUUUCCUCCUCCGACGAUGCCGCCCUCCAACCUAUCAUGCAGUUUCCGUCAUGGUUGGCACAAAGUGACAGGAAGCUGCUGGAGAAGACAUUCCUGACGGCGAUGGAUGCGAACUUGGUGGUAGC
rnacentral:misc_RNA from 1 species